rnacentral:lncRNA from 1 species
GGUCUCAGCGGAUCAGUGAUAGUGACAUCUCGGAUUACCAGGUCGAUGAUGGCAUUGGAGUAGUCCCCCCAGGAGCUUAGAUGAAAUUCAUCCAACAAGAAGAUCACGCUCUCCAACCAGACACCAUGAUGCCUCCCAAAGUCCAGCUGAGCACAGACCCAGAGACGUGGAUAGUCAGUAUCUAGCAGAACAAGACAGCAUCCUGUAACGUGGCAGCCAUCUAAAGAGGGGGACAGAUUAAUUGGACGUGUUAUUCUUAACAAAAGAACAACCAUGCCCAAAGAAUCUGGUGCAUUGUUGGGUCUAAAAAGGACAGUUUUCUCCAGGAAUUUCUCUUCAAAGACCCCUGCUUCCAGAUUUUGGAUAAGUUUAGAGACCGGAACUAAAAAGGUAUCUGGGCUAAGAAGGCAGCCAAUAUUUUGGCCCUGGCCCUCCAAGGUCAACAACUACAACAAAAAGAUCCAGAACAUGAGGGAACCUUCACCAAGAUCCUGCAUUUUUGAGGUGUGGACUGAACCAAGCACUGUGCAUGUGUCAUGCAGAACUCUUAUCUUAGAGCUACCACUGUGCCUAGAGUGGACUUGUUGAAUACUCAUUUGACGCUGGAAAACUGAAAUGGAAAAUGCAUUAUGUGAAGUAUCAGAAAAGACCCCACACCAAAUGUGCAUCUAUUUCUUACCCUUUUUAAAAUUAAACUCAAAUGAUAGAAGUCCAUGCAUUCUGUUGUGUACCUAUCAACAUAUUUUAAAGAUGGUUUCUUAGUCACACAUCCCUUUUUACAGCUGUAUUGUAUUCCUCUUUAUGGAUAUACAAUAACAUAGUCCCUUAUUGAUGAACAUUUAAGUUGUUCAGUGUAAAAGCAGGCUAAAGUCCUACAGUGAGUGGCUUUACACACAUGUUAAAAUGUAAGGAGUUAUCUGUAGAAUGGUUUCUUAAAAUUGCUCAGCCAAGGGCUAAGCCAAAAUUCAUUUUGAUGAUUUUUGGGAUAAGUAUCCCUCUACCUACUCACCACCACUCCAACAGUGCACGAGAAAAGCCUAAUUUCCAGAACACUCACCAACCAGAAAAGUAUUUCAUUUUUAAAAUCUCUGCCAGACUGAGAAGUGGGAAAUGGUCUCUUGGGGAAGUUUUAAUUUGUAUUUUUCUUUUGAGUGAACUCAAGCACCUUUUCAUAUUUAAGAGCCAUUUCUCUUUUCUGUGAAUGGCCCCUUUCUCCACUGAUUGUGGCUUCUGACACCAAUUAGAGUCCCUGAAGAUAUAAAUUACAGGGCUGGGGAUGUAGCUCAGUGGUAGAGUAGUGGCAUACACGAGGUCCUGGAUUCAACCCCCAGCACCAAAAAAUAAAAGACAUAAAUUGUAAAUGUUUUCUUCAGUUAAUCAUUCUGACCUUGCUGUAUAGAUUGACAGUGUCAUAAAAAUAAAAAUUUUUUUUUCCGGUACUGAGGAUCAAACUCAGGACCUUGCACUUGCGAGGCAGGUAUGGUGCCACUGAACUAAAUCCCUGGCCCAUAAAAAUAAAAUUUUAUGGCUUCUGAGUUUUGUAUCAUAGUUUAAAAACCAUUCUUUCUUCACUUAGAUGAUUACAUCUUGUUCAUUAAUUCGUUUAUUUUGGAAGCUUUGUUUCUUUGGUGGUGCUAGAGAGAAAACCCAGGGCCUCGCACACACUUGGCAAAUGCUCUACCACUGAGCUAUACACCCCUCAGCCCUUUUUAAACAUUUAAAUCUUGAGUUCAUCUGGAAUUUCUUCUUCUACGAUACAAAUUAUGAAUCCAAUUUUACUUUUCCUAGAUUGUCCCCUUUUCUUAACGUCUUGAGAUGUGGUUUUGAAAUGGGGCUGGCCUUGAAUGUCUAGGCUCAAGGGGUAAUCCUGCCUCAGCCUCCUGAGUAUCUGGGGACUGCAGACUGGCAAAGCCCAUCCAACCUCCAAUGCUGCUUGACAAAGUUCCAGCUGAGGGAAAAGAAGGGUGGAACACAUCGUACCCUCAUGUUUUAUUUUUUUCAUGCCAUAAUUCAUGUUUUAUUUUUUCUUGCCCUAAUGUUUAUAAUUGUUACUCUGGUCACAGGAAUCAUUGUGUUUGUGACUAACAACAUAUUCUCCACGAGGCAAAUUGGCAAUGUUGUAUUGAAAUCUGAUCUGGCUCAAAAGUCCCAAAUUCCUGUUUCUCUUAGUUCUAUUGCCACACCUACUUCUAAAGAAACCUCUCCUGAAACGCCCUCUGUUUUCCCGCUACUAUAACUCCUUUCUUCUAUUGAUGACUUUCUUUUUACUAAAGGGGUCUUAUAAAGAGA